rnacentral:rRNA from 1 species
AACGAACGCUGGCGGCGCGCCUAAUACAUGCAAGUCGAGCGAGAAGACGUAGCAAUACGUUUGUAAAGCGGCGAACGGGUGAGGAAUACACGGGUAACCUACCCUCGAGUGGGGAAUAACUAGCCGAAGGGUUAGCUAAUACCGCGUACGCUCCUUGGACUUCGGUUCAGGGAGGAAAGCGAUACCGUGGGUAUCGCGCUCUUGGAUGGGCUCAUGUCCUAUCAGCUUGUUGGUGAGGAACGGCUCACCAAGGCUUCGACGGGUAGCUGGUCUGAGAGGACGAUCAGCCACACUGGCACUGCGACACGGGCCAGACUCCUACGGGAGGCAGCAGUAAGGAAUAUUGCGCAAUGGGCGAAAGCCUGACGCAGCGACGCCGCGUGGGGGAUGAAGGUCUUCGGAUUGUAAACCCCUUUCGGGAGGGAAGA